rnacentral:rRNA from 1 species
ACGCUCGACACCUGGCAGCAGUGGGGAAUAUUGCACAAUGGAGGAAACUCUGAUGCAGCGAUGCCGCGUGAGGGAAGAAGGUUUUCGGAUUGUAAACCUCUGUCUUUGGGGACGAUAAUGACGGUACCCAAGGAGGAAGCUCCGGCUAACUACGUGCUAGCAGCCGCGGUAAUCUGAGCGGGCUGGCAAGGC